rnacentral:rRNA from 1 species
GACGAACGCUGGCGGCGUGCUUAACACAUGCAAGUCGAACGGAAAGGCCCUGCUUUUGUGGGGUGCUCGAGUGGCGAACGGGUGAGUAACACGUGAGUAACCUGCCCUUGACUUUGGGAUAACUUCAGGAAACUGGGGCUAAUACCGGAUAGGAGCUCCUGCUGCAUGGUGGGGGUUGGAAAGUUUCGGCGGUUGGGGAUGGACUCGCGGCUUAUCAGCUUGUUGGUGGGGUAGUGGCUUACCAAGGCUUUGACAGGUAGCCGGCCUGAGAGGGUGACCGGCCCCAUUGGGACUGAGAUACGGCCCAGACUCCUACGGGAGGCAGCAGUGGGGAAUAUUGCACAAUGGGCGGAAGCCUGAUGCAGCAACGCCGCGUGCGGGAUGACGGCCUUCGGGUUGUAAACCGCUUUCGCCUGUGACGAAGCGUGAGUGACGGUAAUGGGUAAAGAAGCACCGGCUAACUACGUG